rnacentral:lncRNA from 1 species
GCGUUCACCCCAACUGCGUUUGACUGGUGCGCUGUAGAUGAACGUUUUGAUGUCGGAAUUGUCUGGUUGUCGCCGAGCGGCUGUUUGCCCUUCGUGCUGUAUUGAGACGCGAUCUAUAGGAACGCUGCAAAUGAUGGCCACGGUCGGUUGUUUGUGAUUCGCCUUUCUGUCUCCACAAGGGCCGUUUUCGAAUCAGGGCACCAUUUGGAAUGGUCACCGUGAUACGCGCGUGAACGCCGGUGCGUCACCACCUUGCGCGACGGUGCGGAAUGAGGGACGGGUACAUUAUUUACCGUGUGUCACUACAGCAGCCGACUGCCGUAAGCGUCCACCCCAACUCUGUGUGUCUGGAACGCUGUAGAUGAACACCUUGAUGUCGGCAUUGUCUGAUUGUCGCCGACCGGCUGUCUGCCCUUCGUGCUGUAUUGAGACGCGAUCUAUAGGAACGCUGCAAAUGAUGGCCACGGUCGGUUGUUUAUGAUUCGCCUUUCUGUCUCCACAAGGGCCGUUUUCCAAUCAGGGCACCAUUUGGAAUGGUCACCGUGAUACGCGCGUGAACGCCGGUGCGUCACCACCUUGCGCGACGGUGCGGAAUGAGGGACGGGUACAUUAUUUACCGUGUGUCACUACAGCAGCCGACUGCCGUAAGCGUCCACCCCAACUCUGUGUGUCUGGAACGCUGUAGAUGAACACCUUGAUGUCGGCAUUGUCUGAUUGUCGCCGACCGGCUGUCUGCCCUUCGUGCUGUAUUGAGACGCGAUCUAUAGGAACGCUGCAAAUGAUGGCCACGGUCGGUUGUUUAUGAUUCGCCUUUCUGUCUCCACAAGGGCCGUUUUCCAAUCAGGGCACCAUUUGGAAUGGUCACCGUGAUACGCGCGUGAACGCCGGUGCGUCACCACCUUGCGCGACGGUGCGGAAUGAGUGACAGGUACAUUAUUUACCGUGUGUCUCUGCAGAAGCCGACUGCCGUAAGCGUUCACUCAAGCUCCGUUGAAAUGGUGCGCUGUAGAUAAGUGGUUCCAUGUUGGCGUUUGCCGAUUAUCGCCUACAGGCACCUCGCUCAUCCGUGCGAGUUUUCCGUGUGUAUAUCGACCGGAGUACUUGAAAUGAUACCCAUAGUCUGUUAUGCCUGUAUCGCAGACGUGUCGCUGCAAGGGUCCGUUUUGAUGCGGGGGCAUCAUGUGGGAUGGUGGCCUCGAUACGCGAGCGAACGCCGGUUCAUCACCAGAGUGCGCGACGGUGCGGAAUGAGGGACGGGUACAUCAUUUACCGUGUGUCACUACAGAAGCCGACUGCCGUAAGCGUCCACCCCAACUCUGUGUGUCUGGAACGCUGUAGAUGAACACCUUGAUGUUGGCAUCGUCUGAUUGUCACCGAGCGGCUGCCUGCCCUUCCUGAUGGAUUUAGACGCGAUCUAUAGGAACGCUGCAAAUGAUGGCCACGGUUGGUUGUUUGUGAUUCGCCUUUCUGUCUCCACAAAGACCGUUUUCGAAUCAGGGCACCAUUUGGAAUGGUCACCGUGAUACGCGCGUGAACGCCGGUGCGUCAACACCUUGCGCGACGGUGCGGAAUGAGGGACGGGUACAUUAUUUACCGUGUGUCACUACAGCAGCCGACUGCCGUAAGCGUUCACCCCAACUCUGUGUGUCUGGAACGCUGUAGAUGAACACCUUGAUGUCGGCAUUGUCUGAUUGUCGCCGAGCGGCUGUUUGCCCUUCGUGCUGUAUUGAGACGCGAUCUAUAGGAACGCUGCAAAUGAUGGCCACGGUCGGUUGUGUAUGAUUCGCCUUUCUGUCUCCACAAGGGCCGUUUUCGAAUCAGGGCACCAUUUGGACUGGUCACCGUGAUACGCGCGUGAACGCCGGUGCGUCACCACCUUGCGCGACGGUGCGGAAUGAGGGAUGGGUACAUUAUUUACCGUGUGUCACUACAGCAGCCGACUGCCGUAAGCGUCCACCCCAACUCUGUGUGUCUGGAACGCUGUAGAUGAACACCUUGAUGUCGGCAUUGUCUGAUUGUCGCCGAGCGGCUGUUUGCCCUUCGUGCUGUAUUGAGACGCGAUCUAUAGGAACGCUGCAAAUGAUGGCCACGGUCGGUUGUUUAUGAUUCGCCUUUCUGUCUCCACAAGGGCCGUUUUCGAAUCAGGGCACCAUUUGGAAUGGUCACCGUGAUACGCGCGUGAACGCCGGUGCGUCACCACCUUGCGCGACGGUGCGGAGUGAGUGACAGGUACAUUAUUUAGCGUGUGUCUCUGCAGAAGCCGACUGCCGUAAGCGUUCACUCAAGCUCCGUUGAAAUGGUGCGCUGUAGAUAAGUGGUUCCAUGUUGGCGUUUGCCGAUUAUCGCCUACAGGCACCUCGCUCAUCCGUGCGAGUUUUCCGUGUGUAUAUCGACCGGAGUACUUGAAAUGAUACCCAUAGUCUGUUAUGCCUGUAACGCAGACGUGUCGCUGCAAGGGUCCGUUUUGAUGCGGGGGCAUCAUGUGGGAUGGUGGCCCUGAUACGCGCGCGAACGCCGGUUCAUCAACCGAGUGCGCGACGGUGCGGAACGAAUGACAGGUACAUCAUUUACCGUGUGUCACUACAGAAGCCGACUGAUGUAAGCGUCCACCCCAUCUGCGUUUGACUGGUGCGCUGUAGAUGAACACCUUGAUGUCGGCAUUGUCUGAUUGUCGCCGAGCGGCUGUUUGCCCUUCGUGAUGAAUUUAGACGCGAUCUAUAGGAACGCUGCAAAUGAUGGCCACGGUCGGUUGUUUGUGAUUCGCCUUUCUGUCUCAACAAGGGCCGUUUUCGAAUCAGGGCACCAUUUGGAAUGGUCACCGUGAUACGCGCGUGAACGCCGGUGCGUCACCACCUUGCGCGACGGUGCGGAAUGAGGGACGGGUACAUUAUUUACCGUGUGUCACUACAGCAGCCGACUGCCGUAAGCGUCCACCCCAACUCUGUGUGUCUGGAACGCUGUAGAUGAACACCUUGAUGUCGGCAUUGUCUGAUUGUCGCCGACCGGCUGUCUGCCCUUCGUGCUGUAUUGAGACGCGAUCUAUAGGAACGCUGCAAAUGAUGGCCACGGUCGGUUGUUUAUGAUUCGCCUUUCUGUCUCCACAAGGGCCGUUUUCCAAUCAGGGCACCAUUUGGAAUGGUCACCGUGAUACGCGCGUGAACGCCGGUGCGUCACCACCUUGCGCGACGGUGCGGAAUGAGUGACAGGUACAUUAUUUACCGUGUGUCUCUGCAGAAGCCGACUGCCGUAAGCGUUCACUCAAGCUCCGUUGAAAUGGUGCGCUGUAGAUAAGUGGUUCCAUGUUGGCGUUUGCCGAUUAUCGCCUACAGGCACCUCGCUCAUCCGUGCGAGUUUUCCGUGUGUAUAUCGACCGGAGUACUUGAAAUGAUACCCAUAGUCUGUUAUGCCUGUAUCGCAGACGUGUCGCUGCAAGGGUCCGUUUUGAUGCGGGGGCAUCAUGUGGGAUGGUGGUCUUGAUACGCGCGCGACCGCCGGUUCAUCAACCGAGUGCGCGACGGUGCGGAACGAAUGACAGGUACAUCAUUUACCGUGUGUCACUACAGAAGCCGACUGAUGUAAGCGUCCACCCCAUCUGCGUUUGACUGGUGCGCUGCAGAUGAACGUUUUGAUGUCGGCAUUGUGUGAUUGUCGCUGAGCGGCUGCUCGCUUGUCCAGACGAGUUUUGGAAGAGAUAAGUCAUAAUGCGGCAAAUGACAGUCCUUGUUGGGCAUUUGUGUGCCGCCGUGUUGGCGCCGCACGGGACCGUUGUGAAGCAGAGGAUCAUUUGGCGGACGAGGAUGUUCGCGUUCCGUCCGUUGCGCCAGCGCCGUGUGGGCGUGUGACGGUUGAUUGGCUGAGCGGAAUCGCGUGUUCCACCGGAGCUGGAUGGCGGAUCAGGUCGUUGGUAUCGCGGACGUAUUAGCUGUCGACUGUUCGGUGUUUGGCUGGAGAUGGAGAAAGGGUGGGUGUCGGCGGGCGCUGAAUGAGGUGCCAGGCGUCACUGGUUCCUUGCCUGCAUUAAUCGGAAUGUUCGGCUGCUACUCUUCCCCAGGCAUCAACAAACGACGAAUCGCCAUGCGUUCCGAUAGUACGAAUGUCCGCUUGAUGGCAACUGAGGAUGUGGCCUCCCCGUAAAUGCCUUUGCUUCGAUACGACCGCAGCUCCAUGCAACAGAAACUUGGUGUGUCGAGCGUGUUCUUGCAACAACCGAUUGCGCAACGCGUCUCUAAGCGAAAGCGAUGGAACAACUCUAUGCAUCACUAUGACCGGAAGCUGACCCAGUGAAACUAACACGAUUUUCGUACACUCUUUGUCUUAUCUCUGCAGUUAAUCGCCUGCCCCAUUGUUGCUGAGACACUGAUGUCCGGAUGUCACUGGCGAAGGGUAGCAGCGACGGGUAAUCGUGUGUGUAAUGUAGACAAACGGACCGUAGAUGCUCACGAAACGUUCUGCAUUGCAAUGUUGAGCUGCCCAUAUCAGUUGGCGUACUUCUCACUGCAGAUCCGGUACUCCAUGGUUGUGUAUGAACGAUGAAGAAUAAAAGGGUUAAGGGCACUCGAGCAUCGUUUCAAGACGCAUGUACUUGUGAGAGCUGGCUUCUAAUUUUUGCGCUGGACUGCCUGUUGACGAGCAGGAACAAGCAUGUUCUUUGUUGAAACGUCUGUGAGGGGUUCUACGUAGGACCAAAGGAUCCAAGCAGCACGUUCCUUCACGUCUUCGUUUGGGAACGUGUAGAAACCUGCCGCCUAAACUUUCAGCUGGCUCUGAUAGUAAGCUGUGCCAUUCAUACUCCGUGGUGAGUCUGUGUUGUAACAGCUCGAGCCUUUGAAUGUGGCUGUAGUGGAUCCUGCGUUCCGUACGCAUGUGUCCUCAAGGCCACCCAGUCUCCCGUUAAUUUUUUGUUUCGUCUCGGUCGGUCGUUUCCCGGCAAUUCCAGGCGAUGACGUCUUCGGCGUAUAGCGUAAGUUGCAAGUGAAGGCAGCAACGAGUGUUCUGUGUUUGAUGCAUAUAGAUACGAUUCAGUUUUUUGUAACUGAAACAAUUGUCAGUGCUGAACCAUGGCUCACCUAGGGGGAUGAAAGUGGUGGUUGAGAUCUGAUCAUCACGUGACUGGGCGUAGACAUGUUUGGUCUGGCACGGGGUUGGCGACACAAAGUGAGUCAUAAUCCACUAAGGGAGCAUAGAUGGUACGACUUCAUGGAAAUGCAUGAUCCGAAGUGUUUUUAGCGUGAAGUUCACGUCCAAUGGAUAGGAUGUUUGCCGUGCGUCACGGUAGAACCAUAAACAGCCCCUUGGCGGCAGUCCUUCAAAAAGGAUUGUUUUUUGAGAAUGUGCAUAGGCAGCAGUCUACGAAGCGCGGCAGCUCAUCUCCAUAUGCAUUUGAGAAUGACGCUACAAACCGGCGUCUCCUUCUACCAAGCAUGUCGACGUGCGGCUCCAUUUUCCCAGAUAAAAGUUUUACCUAAGGAGUGACCGGUUUGCGACGGCAGGCAACAGUGUUGGCCACUGCCGUCCGAUGUCGUCACGACAUCAGUCAAUGGUGGUAUGGCCCUGUGGGCCGUCCACAUUUUGUGGGCGUGUGCCUAUACCACACCCCAUAAAGUCUGCUACAAAACCCCGUGCUAUUGUGUGCACGCAUUAGAGAAAUGAGAGGUAAAGAAUACCGAUGGGGGCGACACUUGGCUGACAGAAACGUUCGAGCAUGUUCGCGAAGCGACGCAAAAAAACGCGUCGCCCAUACCUGUGUUCGCCACCGUAGUCACGAGUCUGGAAACUCAAGACGACUGUCGUUCAGGCACUUCGGACUUCCCACAUGUGUGUUCUGCGAGCUGUUCAUUGCGCUCACAGAAAUCUGCGUCCAAGACUUCAACCGUCGAUAUCGGCGAGGCUUCUCCCGACACCGCGUCGACCGAGGGCGAGGCUUCUCCCGACACCGCGUCGACCGAGGGCGAGGCUUCUCCCGACACCGCGUCGACCGAGGGCGAGGCUUCUCCCGACACCGCGUCGACCGAGGGCGUGGCUUCUCCCGACACCGCGUCGACCGAGGGUGUGUUUUAUCCUGACGGCGGGUCCCCCGAGGUACGUUCACAUGGUCGGCGUUCUAACGCGCUCGAGUCGAAAUCGGUUUUCAAACUCUCAGUUUGCGUCUGAAUCGCUAGGGAAGUGGCCGUGUCGGCAAAUGCACGGCGGCGACACGUGCCCUGGUUAUACAUGUCGUUCUUGGCCGCCUCCCAUAGUAGCGGAGCGCCUUGUCCCGGGGUCGGGGGCUGCCUGGUCGCUUUAUUUCAUGUGCAAAGUAUUGUAGUGCCAGCAGAGCUGUACCCCGGCGGGUGUUGCCACUGUUGACGAGACGGUGUCUUGCGUGCUUUUGGUAGUUAUGCGUCCCGGUUUGCGAUUCCUAGCACAAUCUGGUGCGGCAACGUGGGCGCGGUCUGUUCGUGAUCGAUGGCAGCCCCAAGUGGCAGAACUCAUGGGGAAGUAUCGGCACAGAAGCGGGUAUUUCGAUAAUCCUGUGGUCGAUCCCGGGCCUACGUUGGCCAACAGAGGGUACGUUCUGAGGCGGGGCUGCAUUGCCGUAUAGUUUCAAGGCUGGCGAGUGAUGGGAAUUUUCUGUUGAGGACUGGAGUAUUUUCAACUGUCCCUUGUCAGCUGGAUCAUCUCGGCGAUCUGGCUUCGUGAACGGGAGGGUACCCGGUCAUGCACAAUGGGGAAUUCCUCGGUCAGUGCAAGCGGGAAGAGGCUUCCCCGCUUUUUGUCUGGUCUCGGUUUUCAAGUACACUGCGGAACUUGGGGCUCUUGUCAAGACACGGUAGUCCCAAUUGCCAUCUUCUUACUGUCCCAACAGACCAGGAAGGUGAGUAUGGAUCUUCUGCGUUUAAGGCGCUCGCGAAUGGAUUUGGCGCGACGCUUCUGCUGCGCGUGUUGACGAGAGUCUAGGCGUGUAGCAGUGUCGGCACGGUCGCGCGGAGGCCGGGCGCGUGCUGGGUGUAUGUGUCGAUUUGCUGCUGAGGACCGUGCUGUCAGAGUCCCGGGUUCUGGAGCUGUCUCGGCACGCAAGUCCGUGUCCAAUGUGUAUUCGCGCCGGCGGCUGUGUAAUCUGACUCGUGUCGGCGAGAGGGGGCCUCAGCGCUCUCUGGUUGUUAGGGUUACCGGUUUGCGUUUCGUAGCGCUUUAUCGUGCACCGGCGCAGCUGCAUGGGUGUUUUUCGGGCUAUUGUUCAUGGACCGCCGCAUACGAAAAAGGCGUGUAGACGUAGCUGCAUCGACGCGGGAGUAUCGAUGGGAACGGGGACAUGUAGCCGCGUACGAUAUUCGCGACCGGGUGAUGGCUUGUGCUCAGCUGCUCGUCUCUGCUUCGCAUUCUUGGGGGAUGGGAACGUGUUGUGGAGGAUUAGAAGGGUCUCAGGCCCAAAUGACAAGGCGCAUGCUUGUCGCAUGUUGGCCCGAUCGAGUAUGCGAACCAUUUCGAGGCGCAAUGUGGUACUGGUCGGUCAGUCCAGGGGGGAAAAUGCUGCCGCUGUUUUUUGCGUGGUCUGGGUUUUCGAGUACACUGCAGAAAUUGGGGCUCGUGUGAAGACGUGGUGACAUCGCCAUGGGCAGACGAACCCAGCGGUCGUGUGUUCGUUGUACGGUUGAUGAUGAGGCUGAACGCGAGGUCUGCAGGUUUUUCUGUUUGUUCACAUAAAGGCAUGUUAUGAAUGGGGAUUGAGUCGGAUCGUGCUGCCACUGGACCCGGCGGAUUCCAGGGGGCGCCUGCAACGGCCCGCUAUUGCGUAUCGCAUGGGAUAGUCGUCGAGGUUUUGAUUAUUCCGUAAAAUUGUCCUUUCUACCUACGGUAGUUUCAUUGGCUAACGUGUUACUGGCCCGUAACAGAGCACGAGGGUGAGUAUGGAUCUUCUGCGUUUAAGGCGCUCGCGAAUGGAUUUGGCGCGACGCUUCUGCUGCGCGUGUUGACGAGAGUCUAGGCGUGUAGCAGUGUCGGCACGGUCGCGCGGAGGCCGGGCGCGUGCUGGGUGUAUGUGUAGAUUUGCUGCUGAGGACCGUGGUGUCAGAGUCCCGGGUUCUGGAGCUGUCUCGGCACGCAAGUCCGUGUCCAAUGUGUAUUCGCGCCGGCGGCUGUGUAAUCUGACUCGUGUCGGCGAGAGGGGGCUUCAGCGCUCUCUGGUUGUUAGGGUUACCGGUUUGCGUUUCGUAGCGCUUUGUCGUGCACCGGCGCAGCUGCAUGGGUGUUUUUUCGGGCUAUUGUUCAUGGACUGCCGCAUACGAAAAAGGCGUGUAGACGUAGCUGCAUCGACGCGGGAGUAUCGAUGGGAACGGGGACAUGUAGCCGCGUACGAUAUUCGCGACCGGGUGAUGGCUUGUGCUCAGCUGCUCGUCUCUGCUUCGCAUUCUUGGGGGAUGGGAACGUGUUGUGGAGGAUUAGAAGGGUCUCAGGCCCAAAUGACAAGGCGCAUGCUUGUCGCAUGUUGGCCCGAUCGAGUAUGCGAACCAUUUCGAGGCGCAAUGUGGUACUGGUCGGUCAGUCCACGGGUUAAACUACUUCCCCGUGUUUUGCUUGGUGUCAGUGUACGCGGGCACUGCGGAACUUGGGGCUCGUGUGAAGACGUGGUGACAUCGCCAUGGGCAGACGAACCCAGCGGCCAUGUGUUCGUGGUACGGUUGAUGAUGAGGCUAAUCGCUAAGUCUGCAGGUUUCACUGUGGGUCGCCAUAAAUGCGAGUUUAAAAUGGGAGAUUAGGUUGAUCGUGUUGCUACUGGAUCUGCCGGCUUCCCACGGGCGGCGGCAAUGGCGCUCGAUUGUGCACCGCACGAGAUGGUCGUGAAUCUGUCGAUUAGUUCAUUGAUGCGCUCGGUCUUUCGAUGGCGAUGUAUUCAAUGUGAUUUUUUGACUGCCUCCACAGGGAUUUGCAGUGAGUGACUUUUCUGUUUCUACCAGCUCUCGGGUGUGUGUGGCGCACCGCUUGUGCUGCGCGUGUUGACGAGAGUCUAGGCGUGUAGCAGUGUCGGCACGGUCGCGCGGAGGCCGGGCGCGUGCUGGGUGUAUGUGUCGAUUUGCUGCUGAGGACCGUGCUGUCAGAGUCCCGGGUUCUGGAGCUGUCUCGGCACGCAAGUCCGUGUCCAAUGUGUAUUCGCGCCGGCGGCUGUGUAAUCUGACUCGUGUCGGCGAGAGGGGGCCUCAGCGCUCUCUGGUUGUUAGGGUUACCGGUUUGCGUUUCGUAGCGCUUUAUCGUGCACCGGCGCAGCUGCAUGGGUGUUUUUCGGGCUAUUGUUCAUGGACCGCCGCAUACGAAAAAGGCGUGUAGACGUAGCUGCAUCGACGCGGGAGUAUCGAUGGGAACGGGGACAUGUAGCCGCGUACGAUAUUCGCGACCGGGUGAUGGCUUGUGCUCAGCUGCUCGUCUCUGCUUCGCAUUCUUGGGGGAUGGGAACGUGUUGUGGAGGAUUAGAAGGGUCUCAGGCCCAAAUGACAAGGCGCAUGCUUGUCGCAUGUUGGCCCGAUCGAGUAUGCGAACCAUUUCGAGGCGCAAUGUGGUACUGGUCGGUCAGUCCACGGGUUAAACUACUUCCCCGUGUUUUGCUUGGUGUCAGUGUACGCGGGCACUGCGGAACUUGGGGCUCGUAUGAAGACGUGGUGACAUCGCCAUGGGCAGACGAACCCAGCGGCCAUGUGUUCGUGGUACGGUUGAUGAUGAGGCUAAUCGCUAAGUCUGCAGGUUUCACUGUGGGUCGCCAUAAAUGCGAGUUUAAAAUGGGAGAUUAGGUUGAUCGUGUUGCUACUGGAUCUGCCGGCUUCCCACGGGCGGCGGCAAUGGCGCUCGAUUGUGCACCGCACGAGAUGGUCGUGAAUCUGUCGAUUAGUUCAUUGAUGCGCUCGGUCUUUCGAUGGCGAUGUAUUCAAUGUGAUUUUUUGACUGCCUCCACAGGGUUUACGAGUGAGUGACUUUUCUGUUUCUACCAGCUCUCGGGUGUGUGUGGCGCACCGCUUGUGCUGCGCGUGUUGACGAGAGUCUAGGCGUGUAGCAGUGUCGGCACGGUCGCGCGGAGGCCGGGCGCGUGCUGGGUGUAUGUGUCGAUUUGCUGCUGAGGACCGUGCUGUCAGAGUCCCGGGUUCUGGAGCUGUCUCGGCACGCAAGUCCGUGUCCAAUGUGUAUUCGCGCCGGCGGCUGUGUAAUCUGACUCGUGUCGGCGAGAGGGGGCCUCAGCGCUCUCUGGUUGUUAGGGUUACCGGUUUGCGUUUCGUAGCGCUUUAUCGUGCACCGGCGCAGCUGCAUGGGUGUUUUUCGGGCUAUUGUUCAUGGACCGCCGCAUACGAAAAAGGCGUGUAGACGUAGCUGCAUCGACGCGGGAGUAUCGAUGGGAACGGGGACAUGUAGCCGCGUACGAUAUUCGCGACCGGGUGAUGGCUUGUGCUCAGCUGCUCGUCUCUGCUUCGCAUUCUUGGGGGAUGGGAACGUGUUGUGGAGGAUUAGAAGGGUCUCAGGCCCAAAUGACAAGGCGCAUGCUUGUCGCAUGUUGGCCCGAUCGAGUAUGCGAACCAUUUCGAGGCGCAAUGUGGUACUGGUCGGUCAGUCCAGCGGGGGAAAUGCUGCCGCUGUUUUUUGCGUGGUCUGGGUUUUCGAGUACACUGCAGAAAUUGGGGCUCGUGUGGAGGCACAGGGACGUCGACAGGGGCGAGCGAAGCAAUCGGCCAUCAGUUUGCUUUCUGGGGAAUGUUAUGUUCAUGUGAGUGGUCCGGGGGCUUUCUGUGUUGAGAUGCAACGAUAUGGGUUUGAAGGUUGCAAUGAGAUGCGGCGGUAGGUGCUCAACGUGGUAUCUUGCGAGUGACUAUUGUACCGUUCCACCCCCCGGUGUCACAGUCUGGUGUGCUGUCGCUGCAGUGGCUUUUUGGAUUCACAGGCAUUUCUCGGUUUGUGCAUGCUUUUUGUUGCAGUUGUUCAGGACGGUACGUUGGUGUGGUCACAACGUCAGCAUCCACAAAGUCACAGAUGAAAUGAUGUCGCGUAGAGCACGGCCCACGUGCCGUGUAUUGAUAUUGGAUUCUAUACAAAGACCUCCGAGCGCAGCUCGCAAUUUCACUGUCACACCCCGGGAGUGAUAAUCUUUGAGACAGGAUUAUUUAUAAGCUUUUUCUACGGAGUAUAUACUUCGAGUUGGACUAUUGGUGUAGAUCGUAAAUGUCUUUGUUUACCGGAUCCAAGUUCUAUUGUGCAUUUCAUGACCAUCAAGUUGAGUGCAUUAAGUAUAGUGGCGUCCAGCGUAUAUUUUAAAAUCCAGCAGUUGUAUACAAGUUGUACGAAUAUCAUGGUAUUCACUUUUCUAGUCUCCUGCCUGAUGUUAGUCUGCGCGGAAUACACGGAUCGGAUUCUUGCUGGCCUGGCGCCUGUUUCGUAACUGGAUUAUAUUCGAUGAUCUUAUGUGUUAUCAUUGGUAUAUUUCAAAUCGAAUAAACAGAGGUAUUGUAGUACCUCGGAUACUGAAUAUGACUCCUGUUAUGAGAUCCAGACAACCAAGUUCUUUAUGAUUUCUGUAUACCGCCACCCCACUGGACUGAAAUCAAGUCCUGCGUCCCAGUAGUUGACAAGCCGUCAGCAGUUCAUUUCCGGUCCGCCGGACACAAUCGAAACUGAAGUGUCCCCUUAUUUCGUUCAGAGAGUAGGAAAACAGCUUAAUGGGAUAGGUGACUAUGAGAAUCCCUCCCAUCCAUUAUCUGUCGUGUGCAGAAGCAGACAUCCAUUAUCUGUCGUGUGCAGAAGCAGAGACAAGCAGCAAGGGUCUGUCUUAGGGGAGAACUGAGGGGCUGUAGGAUGCGAACCAGCCCUCCCAUUUCGUCAUACGCAGCAGAGCGACUGACUGUGCGAAUACACCACCGGACGUGCUGCCAUUAUACGACCUUCUUCAUAUCGUUACUUCUAUCAUGCUGCUUAUUGACCGCUUGCACGCACAGGGAGUAACACAUCGAGUCUUUUUUCUGUUUUUUGUGCCAGACUGACAUCAGCAUCGGUCAAUGGUUUUCGUCUGCCAGAGGCCUAGAUGUAGUCAUGCUUUUAAGUGCAUAACUACAUCAUUUGCUGAUGAGGGAUGCGCUGAUAAUCUUUGACACAAACCGGGGCGCCUAUUCUUUUGCGGGUCGAAUCCAUUUGGUUUAAAUGCUUGAUUUGGAAAUCAGUUUGCAAAACACCGGAAGGAACUAGUAACGUUAGUGAAGAAAGUCACAUUUGUCGGAUGGAGUACUGAAAUACAUAAUUCCCAUUUCAGUACGUAGAGGGGGACAUCAGCGGUUGUAAACCGCUGCGCGUGGAUUUUGUCUUUCCGGCAAAACAUUGCUUGCAGAUAGCAGCACUGAGCCAAGGCAUGCGUUAUCCGCAUACGUAGCAUGGGAACCGACGUUGUGUGGCAGAGGCUCACCGACGCCCUGUGGGGAAGGAAACUGGACACCAACACCAACCAAACGCCAAAGCCCCACAAACUAGUAGCUAACUUCAAGAACUUCCAACCCGUCAAGCUCCCGUAGAGAGGCCGAACGAUGCGUGCGGAGGAACGUUCGUUGCACGCGGUGUGGCUCGGCCGGUAUCGCGCGUGAAACAGCUUUUUAUGUUUGAUGGAUAUUCGUCAGUAUCCUCUGUUACAACAGAGGUAGUUACCUGUUUCGUCGUGUAGCACAUAAUUACAUGUGUCUUUCUUCGCGGCCAGCUGCCUUCAGCAAAUUAUCCAAGUCGUUCACAGUAACUACCUGCCUAAGCCCGUUAUGCUGUACGUGAGGAAGAAUAGAGGAACCCACACCUGGUCUUCCAAAUGCUUCUACCUGCGAGCAGUAGACCGACCUAGCGGUAGGGUUUAUGAUGAAAGAGUGUGCGAAAAAGGGUGAGUCGCUUCCAUUUCGUGACUCGGUAUUCGUGAGUCGAGCUUGAUGGGAGUGCCGCUUGAAAAUUUUAUCUGCAUGUUGGCGAAUAAAUUAUUUGCAUGUCACUCUCCCGCGAGGACUUACAAAUCGUUUUUGUUAUACCGUGUAGUGGUUGUGUCCUUCAUGCGAUCUAUCACGCGUCUCGCGUUUCAAGGCCUGGACGAGGUCCAUCCAUUUUUGGUCAUUUAAAGCGGAGUAGCUGCCAUGCCCGUCUGUAUGCAAAUACAUGAAUUGUGCAUGUUCUGCAGACCACGUAGCUACUUUUGCCAUGAUCUUAAGUGGAGUCUUACCACUUACAAGGCACAUUCCAGGAUAGCCAGGCAGCUAUUGUGGUGCUCAGUAUCAUUAGCCGAAAUGGAUCUCUUGAGGUGUACAAGAACAACAGCACCUGUUUGCUCUAAUAGGUUCACCACUUUACCGUUCGGUAUCUCAAAACUUGUGCAACAAGGAACUAAGAAGAGCGGCCGUACAAAUAUUGCGCAG